AUCCUUUUCUUUUUCCUUACCUUGGAAGCAGAGUAGUCCAAAAUAUCUAACCAAGUAGUAACAGACCGAACCAUCAAGUAUCGGGGCUAGUAAGUUCCAUCUCUCAUCAAAUAUGAGCUUAUACACUUCUUUCUACCUUUCAAAGUAGAUUAUGACAGUCACCUUAUCACAUCAAUUGUGGCUUUGUACCCCAACAGCAAAGUGAAAGCCCAUCAACACAGGCGUUGAACCGCUCCUUUAGCGCUACACAAAC
rnacentral:lncRNA from 1 species